UCUGGGUAUACACCGUGGCAUCACAAGGGCCACCCAGAACUGGCUCAACUCCCAUAAAGCCAAGUUCACCCAGCUCGUCCUGCUAGAGCACUUUUUCAAUGUGCUCCCCAAUGACAAGGUGACGACGCAUUCGUAUGUCAAUUCAUAUCAACUUUCGAUGCCAUUUACUGCGCCGACCAUGGUGACCACGGGUAAUGGGGAAUCAGGGUUCAAUUCCUUAGAGGGAGCCUGACAAAUGGCUGCCACAUGCAAGGAAGGCAGCAGGUGCGCAAAUGACCCACUCCCGACGCGGGGAGGUAAUGAAGA